rnacentral:misc_RNA from 1 species
GUGAGUCAUCGAAUCUUUGAACGCACAUUGCGCCCGCCAGUAUUCUGGCGGGCAUGCCUGUUCGAGCGUCAUUUCAACCCUCAAGCUCAGCUUGGUGUUGGGGAUCGGCAAGGCGUCCUCCGGGUCGCGCCGUCCCCCAAAUUUAGUGGCGGUCUCGCUGUAGCUUCCUCUGCGUAGUAAUACACCUCGCUCUGGAGUCUCGGCGCGGCCACGCCGUAAAACCCCCAACUUUUUCUGGUUGACCUCGAAUCAGGUAGGACUACCCGCUGAACUUAAGCAUAUCAAUAAGCGGAGGA